rnacentral:sRNA from 1 species
GCCAGGUAUGGUGGCAUACACCUGUAAUCCCAGCAGCUUGGGAGGCUGAGACAGGAGGAUCAUGAGUUCAAAGCCAGCCUCAGCAAUAGUGAGUUGCUAAGCAACUCAAUGUGACCCUGUCUUUA